rnacentral:lncRNA from 1 species
UAUGAUGACAUCAUAAUCUUUCAGUCAGUUUAAUUGAAGUCUGGAGCUGGCAUGUCAGUUAACUGCUAGUAGUCUGUUGUUAUUUAUGUAUUAUUGUCAUUUUGUUUAUUUUCUUUGGUUACAUCUUCUGACAUCAGACUCGGAUUUCUCUUGAACUGAAUUUUAAUGUGCGUAUUGUUAUGCGUUUACUUUACUACAUUGGUUAGAGGUAUAGGGGGAGGGUUGAGAUCUCACAAACAUGUUUAACCCCGCCGCAUUUUUGCGCCUGUCCCAAGUCAGGAGCCUCUGGCCUUUGUUAGUCCUGUAUUAUUUCAAUUUUAGUUUCUUGUGUACAAUUUGGAAAUUAGUAUGGCGUUCAUUAUCACUGGACUAGUAUAUAUUUGCUUAGGGGCCAGCUGAAGGACGCCUCCGGGUGCGGGAAUUUCUCGCUACAUUGAAGACCUGUUGGUGACCCUCUGCUGUUGUUUUUUAUUUGGUCGGGUUGUUGUCUCUUUGACACAUUCCCCAUUUCCAUUCUCAAUUUUAU